AGGGAAUUGUGUCACUCCCAUUGAGCAGCUGUGGGGCCCUCUCCCACAUGGCCCAGGUCCACCACUCUGUCAAAGGUCGCACAGCCCAGACAAAAACAGGACACAGCAGUGUGUGAAUGAGCCGGGCUUUCUCCUUCCCUCCACGUAAUAGAAGGUGCCUGAGGUUGUUGAAACACAGUCCAUUUCUCCUGGGAAUGACAAGAAUUUGAGGGAUGCUGACUUUCAAGGAAUACUGCAUGACAGGCAUCAAGAUAAACCUGAUGAAGAAAACAUAGGCCAGAAUCUGGGAAUCGGGAGCAAAGUAAUACAGCUUCGGGGACAGGCACGUAAUGAGGUCAUGAUGUAGGAGACUCCCUGCAGGACUGGCGGCCCCUGUUCCCUGGGUUGUUCUGGCUCUUUCAGGUGAGAGAGAAGGAUACAGACAGGAAAUGGCACUUCCUAGAAGGGCAACCCUCUGUUCCUGGGGUGUGUGGCAUCUUCCAGCGUUGGGUCUGAGGUUCUAGUGCAGGGACGCAAACACAGGAAGAGCCCCCAUGGCCCUCGCUGGGAAAGACGGGCUCACUCGUUGCACGUGAGCACUGCAGACCAACAGCAUCACAGAAAGGAGGCUCUCCUGCCGUACUUGUGACUCAUGUCUUAAAGAUACCCCAAGAGAAUUGAACAAAGCUCUAUCGUGAGAUCCUUCUGAGGAGAGAAUAAAAAGGAAAUAUGUAUUUUACUUUUGUACAUGGAAUUUCCUUUUAAUUAAAAUCCUUGGUGAUUUUAAAAUAUCAGGUUCCUAGGAGGGUGGCUGUGCGUGACUCGGCUCACGCUGCUGCCGUGGGCUCCUGGGCGC
rnacentral:lncRNA from 1 species